CCAGCAGCCGCGGUAAUACGUAGGGUGCAAGCGUUAAUCGGAAUUACUGGGCGUAAAGCGUGCGCAGGCGGUUCGGAAAGAAAGAUGUGAAAUCCCAGAGCUUAACUUUGGAACUGCAUUUUUAACUACCGGGCUAGAGUGUGUCAGAGGGAGGUGGAAUUCCGCGUGUAGCAGUGAAAUGCGUAGAUAUGCGGAGGAACACCGAUGGCGAAGGCAGCCUCCUGGGAUAACACUGACGCUCAUGCACGAAAGCGUGGGGAGCAAACAGGAUUAGAUACCCUGGUAGUCCACGCCCUAAACGAUGUCAACUAGCUGUUGGGGUCUUCGGACCUUGGUAGCGCAGCUAACGCGUGAAGUUGACCGCCUGGGGAGUACGGUCGCAAGAUUAAAACUCAAAGGAAUUGACGGGGACCCGCACAAGCGGUGGAUGAUGUGGAUUAAUUCGAUGCAACGCGAAAAACCUUACCUACCCUUGACAUGUCUGGAAUGCCGAAGAGAUUUGGCAGUGCUCGCAAGAGAACCGGAACACAGGUGCUGCAUGGCCGUCGUCAGCUCGUGUCGUGAGAUGUUGGGUUAAGUCCCGCAACGAGCGCAACCCUUGUCAUUAGUUGCUACGAAAGGGCACUCUAAUGAGACUGCCGGUGACAAACCGGAGGAAGGUGGGGAUGACGUCAAGUCCUCAUGGCCCUUAUGGGUAGGGCUUCACACGUCAUACAAUGGUCGGGACAGAGGGUCGCCAACCCGCGAGGGGGAGCUAAUCCCAGAAACCCGAUCGUAGUCCGGAUCGCAGUCUGCAACUCGACUGCGUGAAGUCGGAAUCGCUAGUAAUCGCGGAUCAGCAUGUCGCGGU
rnacentral:rRNA from 1 species